rnacentral:rRNA from 1 species
UUUGAUCCUGGCUCAGAAUCAACGCUGGCGGCGUGCCUAACACAUGCAAGUCGAACGAGAAAGUGGAGCAAUCCAUGAGUACAGUGGCGACCGGGUGAGUAACACGUGACUAACCUGCCCUCGAGUGGGGAAUAACUCCGGGAAACCGGAGCUAAUACCGCAUAACAUCGCAAGAUCAAAGCAGCAAUGCGCUUGAGGAGGGGGUCGCGGCUGAUUAGCUAGUUGGUAGGGUAAUGGCCUACCAAGGCAAAGAUCGGUAUCCGGCCUGAGAGGGCGCACGGACACACUGGAACUGAAACACGGUCCAGACUCCUACGGGAGGCAGCAGUGGGGAAUUUUGCGCAAUGGGGGAAACCCUGACGCAGCA